CCCUGGCCUCCGUUGUUUGUGGAGGCUGCCUCUAGCCUAACCCAGCUGAGAGGUUUGCUGCGGUCUGUGAUUCCGGCUCCUGUCCCUGUCAUUGCUGUUUUUUGUGGCCACCAGUGGUUAGCUUCAGCGAGGACCGCCGCAACCCACUUGUUGAACCGUAGCAUGCCUUUCUGGACCAGCCCCACUUGAUGAAGUUCUUCUGGUCUAACGGCACUCUUGUCUGGCUGAUUCCUGACGUGUAGCAGUGUGGUCGUGGGGCUGAGAACCAGUUGGUGGUUCCAAACGGGGGAGUCGUGCAGAUGCCAGACUGGCCUGGAUGGAUGUAUUUGUACCUUCACCCCAUUCCGUAUCAAUCACUUGCUUAUUGUUAUUGUUUGCCACUUUAAUGGCCUGAUUGUUAAACUGCAUUGACCUGGAUAGGCAGCUUAAUGCCCUGAAGAUGAGCCUUUACAUAUUUAACUUGAGUGUCAGUAGGCUACAAUAAUCAAUGUUUCUGCAACCUCUGAUUUACCAAAACAGGCAGCCCCAUGGUGCUUUUUCCUUUUGACAUUUUAGUUUAUGUUUUAUCAAAUAUCUUUCUAAUCAUCCAGUGCACUUGUUUGCUAUGAACUGACGUCAAUCUUCAUAUCCAUCCGCUAGAGAGCAUGAGGACCAGCAAAGUUGCUAUCACAAGUCUGCCUGGCCUAACAACUUUUACUUCAUGAAUAAACUCUUUCAAUGCACAAA